rnacentral:rRNA from 1 species
UACAGAGGUCUCAAGCGUUGUCCGGAAUUAUUGGGCGUAAAGAGCUCGUAGGCGGUUUGUCGCGUCUGCUGUGAAAACCUAAGGCUCAACCUUGGGCUUGCAGUGGGUACGGGCAGACUAGAGUGCGGUAGGGGUGACUGGAAUUCCUGGUGUAGCGGUGGAAUGCGCAGAUAUCAGGAGGAACACCGAUGGCGAAGGCAGGUCACUGGGCCGCAACUGACGCU